CUUUGGUGUCCAUCAAUAGUAGGAUAUGGCCAUUAGUUUGAUCAAUGACCAAUGCCACUCCACCCCUCUCUUUCCCACAGCCUGGUUCUGGGGAUGAAGCCUUUUGUGAUAGACUUUGGCUUGUCCUGCCUACCUCAGUCUCCUCUCACUCCUCUGCCUUCCAAGUCCUGUUCUGCUUUUCUCUGAUAUUGUAUAACCUUAACCAAUAA
rnacentral:lncRNA from 1 species